rnacentral:rRNA from 1 species
UAGGGAAUCUUCGGCAAUGGACGGAAGUCUGACCGAGCAACGCCGCGUGAGUGAAGAAGGUUUUCGGAUCGUAAAGCUCUGUUGUAAGAGAAGAACGAGUGUGAGAGUGGAAAGUUCACACUGUGACGGUAUCUUACCAGAAAGGGACGGCUAACUACGUGCCAGCAGCCGCGGUAAUACGUAGGUCCCGAGCGUUGUCCGGAUUUAUUGGGCGUAAAGCGAGCGCAGGCGGUUAGAUAAGUCUGAAGUUAAAGGCUGUGGCUUAACCAUAGUACGCUUUGGAAACUGUUUAACUUGAGUGCAAGAGGGGAGAGUGGAAUUCCAUGUGUAGCGGUGAAAUGCGUAGAUAUAUGGAGGAACACCGGUGGCGAAAGCGGCUCUCUGGCUUGUAACUGACGCUGAGGCUCGAAAGCGUGGGGAGCAAACAGGAUUAGAUACCCUGGUAGUCCACGCUGUAAACGAUGAGUGCUAGGUGUUAGACCCUUUCCGGGGUUUAGUGCCGCAGCUAACGCAUUAAGCACUCCGCCUGGGGAGUACGACCGCAAGGUUG